rnacentral:rRNA from 1 species
UACGUAGGGGCAAGCGUUGUCCGGAUUUACUGGGCGUAAAGAGCGUGUAGGCGGCCAAACAGGUCCGUUGUGAAAGCUGGAAGGCUCAACCUCCAUGAACGUCGCGAAACCGUGUGGCUAGAGUCCGGAAGAGGAGAGUGGAAGUCUGGUGUAGCGGUGAAAUGCGCAGAUAUACAGGAAGAACACCAAUGGCGAAGGCAGCUCUCUGGGACGGUACUGGACGCUGAGACGCGAAGCGUGGGGAGCAACAGGA